UUAGAGACUUGUCAGAUUUGAAGAGUACUCUCUGUGCAAAGAAUAAAGAUGUUGCUUUGGCAUCAAAGCAAAUGAGCAACCAACGUUAUCGCGGUGGAGAUUACACCAAAGCUCUGAGUUGUUACUCCCAGAUGAUUUUCUCAAUUUGUCCACGUCAUGGUAAUUGGCACUGAGCCUUACUCCAAUAUUUGUUGAUGACAAUGGGAGAAAUCUGGUUGAAGCUUUGUACAGGAGUCAGCUUCUUUGUUUCAUGCAAGAUUUUUAUUGAAGAUCAAGGGUACUAAAGCAUACAGAAACAACCCACCAGAACAUACGAUUCUUGAUAACAAAUUGGUAAAUUCAUACCAACUCUACCUCUCAAUUAUUGGAGGCCAAUCUUUAUCUUGGGUUGACUUGGCCUAUUAUAAAUAUCAUUAUUUGUCCUCCUUCUCUCUCUCUGUCUCUCUCUCUCUCUCUCUUUGUAUGUGUAUUUUGAUGCCUCCUACUUCUUAUUCUUUAACUAUAUGAUGCUUCAUUCUCUUCUUUUCUGAUUUUUUGCGUUUCUUUCCCAGUUAUUUGUUUUGAUGGUUUUCUCAAUCAAAUUUUAGUCAUAAAAAAAUUUCUUUAUAUAGGAGAAGUAAGGCUAAUGUUUCUUUGGGAAACUAUAAAGAUGGCAUAAAUGACUUGAACAUUGCUAAACAUGCAGAUGACUUAUUUUGGGGGAAAAAGACAUAUGGGAAGUGAAUGGAAAGAAAUUGUUAAAAAAUGUUCGAAAAUCAACAAUAAACGGUUCCACAUAACAACUACUUGAAUU